rfam:Dipodomys ordii contig_31827, whole genome shotgun sequence.
GGGAAUAUGGCUUAGUGGUUAAGUGUUUGCUUAGCAUGCAUGAGGCCCUAGGUUCAAUUCCUUGGUACCA